UAUACGACCGUACCGCAAACCGACACUGGUGCGCGAGAUGAGUAUUCUAAGGCGCUUGAGAGAACUCAGGAGAAGGAACUCGGCAAAUUGACACCGUAACUUCGGAAGAAGGUGUGCCCUAUUAGUGUGUAGUGAACAACGAAGCAUGAAUGGGUUGCAAAAAAUCGGUGGCUGCGACUGUUUAUUAAAAACACAGCACUCUGCAAACACGAAAGUGGACGUAUAGGGUGUGACGCCUGCCCGGUGCUGGAAGAUUAAAUGAUGGGGUGCAAGCUCUUGAUUGAAGUCCCAGUAAACGGCGGCCGUAACUAUAACGGUCCUAAGGUAGCGAAAUUCCUUGUCGGGUAGGUUCCGACCUGCACGAAUGGCGUAACGAUGGCCACACUGUCUCCUCCUGAGACUCAGCGAAGUUGAAAUGUUUGUGAUGAUGCAAUCUCCCCGCGGAAAGACGGAAAGACCCCAUGAACCUUUACUGUAGCUUUGUAUUGGACUUUGAACAGAUCUGUGUAGGAUAGGUGGGAGGCUUUGAAGCAGGGUCGCUAGAUCUUGUGGAGCCAACGUUGAAAUACCACCCUGGUGUGUUUGAGGUUCUAACCUAGGUCCAUUAUCUGGAUCGGGGACAGUGCAUGGUAGGCAGUUUGACUGGGGCGGUCUCCUCCCAAAGCGUAACGGAGGAGUUCGAAGGUACGCUAGUUACGGUCGGACAUCGUGACGAUAGUGCAAUGGCAUAAGCGUGCUUAACUGCGAGACUGACAAGUCGAGCAGAUGCGAAAGCAGGACAUAGUGAUCCGGUGGUUCUGUAUGGAAGGGCCAUCGCUCAACGGAUAAAAGGUACUCUGGGGAUAACAGGCUGAUACCGCCCAAGAGUUCAUAUCGACGGCGGUGUUUGGCACCUCGAUGUCGGCUCAUCUCAUCCUGGGGCUGUAGCCGGUCCCAAGGGUAUGGCUGUUCGCCAUUUAAAGAGGUACGUGAGCUGGGUUUAAAACGUCGUGAGACAGUUUGGUCCCUAUCUUCCGUGGGCGCUGCAGAUUUGAGGAAGCCUGCUCCUAGUACGAGAGGACCGGAGUGGACACACCUCUGGUGUAUCGGUUGUCACGCCAGUGGCAUUGCCGAGUAGCUAAGUGUGGAAGAGAUAACCGCUGAAAGCAUCUAAGCGGGAAACUCGUUUCAAGAUGAGAUCUGCCGGGGCCUUGAGCCCCCUAAAGAGUCGUUCAAGACCAGGACGUUGAUAGGUCAGGUGUGGAAGCUAAU
rnacentral:rRNA from 1 species